AAUCUUGGACAAUGGGCGCAAGCCUGAUCCAGCCAUGCCGCGUGAGUGAUGAAGGCCUUAGGGUCGUAAAGCUCUUUCGCCAGAGAUGAUAAUGACAGUAUCUGGUAAAGAAACCCCGGCUAAACUCCGUGCCAGCAGCCGCGGUAAUACGGAGGGGUUAGCGUUGUUCGGAAUUACUGGGCGUAAAGCGCACGUAGGCGGAUUAGUUAGUCAGAGGUGAAAUCCCGGGGCUCAACCCCGGAACUGCCUUUGAUACUGCUAGUCUUGAGUUCGAGAGAGGUGAGUGGAAUUCCGAGUGUAGAGGUGAAAUUCGUAGAUAUUCGGAGGAACACCAGUGGCGAAGGCGGCUCACUGGCUCGAUACUGACGCUGAGGUGCGAAAGUGUGGGGAGCAAACAGGAUUAGAUACCCUGGUAG
rnacentral:rRNA from 1 species